rnacentral:rRNA from 1 species
CCUUCGGGUNGUAAACCUCUUUCAGUAGGGAAGAAGCGAAAGUNACGGUACCUGCAGAAGAAGCGCCGNNUAACUACGUGCCAGCAGCCGCGGUAAUACGUAGGGCGCAAGCGUUAUCCGGAUUUAUUGGGCGUAAAGAGCUCGUAGGCGGUUUGUCGCGUCUGCCGUGAAAGUCCGAGG